rnacentral:misc_RNA from 1 species
GAUGAAGAACGCAGCGAAAUGCGAUAAGUAGUGUGAAUUGCAGAAGUACCGUGAAUCAUCGAAUCUUUGAACGCAAAUUGCACUCUCUGGUAUUCCGGGGAGUAUGCCUGUUUGAGGGUCGCUUAACAAACCAUCGAUUUCGUUGCUUUUUUUUUUUAAAAAAGUGAUGUUUAUCGGAUUUGAGCCGUCUUUUUUUUUAUAUUUAAGUGGCUUAAAAUUGAUUUUUUUGGUACGAUCGAAGCGUAUUUUUAUGAUAAAUUUUUGGUUAAAGAAACGCACACGUACCGUUAUUUAUAUGAUGUAAUACGUUUGACUAUUGGAUUUAGUUCAUUCGUAUACGAUAUUUUUCAAUAUUUGACCUCAAAUCAGGUAAGAACACCCGCUGAACUUAAGCAUAUCAAUAAGCGGAGGA